UACAGAGGGGGCAAGCGUUGUUCGGAAUUACUGGGCGUAAAGGGCGCGUAGGCGGCCCGCUAAGUCGAGCGUGAAAUCCCCGGGCUCAACCCGGGAACUGCGUCCGAUACUGGCAGGCUUGAAUCCGGGAGAGGGAUGCGGAAUUCCAGGUGUAGCGGUGAAAUGCGUAGAUAUCUGGAGGAACACCGGUGGCGAAGGCGGCAUCCUGGACCGGCAUUGACGCUGAGGCGCGAAAGCCAGGGGAGCAAACGGG
rnacentral:rRNA from 1 species